UUAUCAGUGGUCCGUACUUGAGUUUCAAUUUUUGCCACAUUUCGCCCCCGCGCACGCUUCCACUUUGGGACAGCCAACUUUAAAGUGUAAUCCCUCGGAGUUGUCUGCGAAGCGCCAAAAGUCCUAGGACCCACACAUUUGCAAUGCAUCUCCAAAGGCCACGAAGGGAGGGGUGCUGGGCUGCUGCUGUGUGGCAGAGGGAUAAUCGUAUCGUUCGAUGGUCGUCGUAUAAUAAAUAUCGUAUAGGAGAGAUCUUUGUGGGUGCUCAACCGAUCAGAGAACGAGAAGGAAGUGAACUGCGAGGAUGAUAA